GAUGAACGCUGGCGGCGUGCCUAAUACAUGCAAGUCGAGCGAAUGGAUUAAGAGCUUGCUCUUAUGAAGUUAGCGGCGGACGGGUGAGUAACACGUGGGUAACCUGCCCAUAAGACUGGGAUAACUCCGGGAAACCGGGGCUAAUACCGGAUAACAUUUUGAACCGCAUGGUUCGAAAUUGAAAGGCGGCUUCGGCUGUCACUGAUGGAUGGACCCGCGUCGCAUUAGCUAGUUGGUGAGGUAACGGCUCACCAAGGCAACGAUGCGUAGCCGACCUGGUAGGGUGAUCGGCCACACUGAGACUGAGACACGGCCCAGACUCCUACGGGAGGCAGCAGUAGGGAAUCUUCCGCAAUGGACGAAAGUCUGACGGAGCAACGCCGCGUGAGUGAUGAAGGCUUUCGGGUCGUAAAACUCUGUUGUUAGGGAAGAACAAGUGCUAGUUGAAUAAGCUGGCACCUUGACGGUACCUAACCAGAAAGCCACGGCUAACUACGUGCCAGCAGCCGCGGUAA
rnacentral:rRNA from 1 species